rnacentral:tRNA from 2 species
GGAAGCGCAUGGGGUCUGGCGGCCUCCGCGGACUUCAAAUCCGUUGAUUCCGGGUUAGCCCCCGGGAUGGUGGGUUCGAUUCCCACACGCUUCCGCCA